AGGGAGACCUAAUCCAGGUAAAAGACGAAAAAAAAGUAGUCGCUACCAAGAAUCAAUCCCAAAAGGUCGGAGCGAGGCGAAAUUGGCUUUCAAACUAGGUUCUGGGUUCAAACAAGACCUGAAUCAGGAACAAGGGCUAUUAGCUCAGGUGGUUAGAGCGCACCCCUGAUAAGGGUGAGGUCCCUGGUUCGAGUCCAGGAUGGCCCACCUGCACAGGUGGCAAAAACAAGAGAAGCGAGGAAUCAGCACCUUAUCUUACUUAUAUAGUAAGAGAGAAUGCUGGCUCUGAGUAAAGAGUCCAGAGGAACCUUGAAAACUGCAUAGAGCUAGGUGAAAAAGCCAAAAAAGAAGACCGCAA
rnacentral:tRNA from 1 species